rfam:Xenopus laevis strain J chromosome 4L, whole genome shotgun sequence.
UGGCCCUGUGAUUAUAAACUGACAACACGAGGACAAAUGCUGAAGACCUGCUUUCUCUUUUCUCAAUUUCUUUCUUUCCUCCACCUCUCUUCUCUCUCCCAACCCCCACUCUUCCUUGUGGGUCUCCAGUGUCCAAUGAGAGUCUGAUUAUGAGAUAUGAGGGCUU